UACAGAGGGGGCAAGCGUUGUUCGGAAUUACUGGGCGUAAAGGGCGCGUAGGCGGCCUUCUAAGUCGAACGUGAAAUCCCCGGGCUCAACCUGGGAACUGCAUUUGUGACUGCAUCGCUGGAGUGCGGCAGAGGGGGAUGGAAUUCCGCGUGUAGCAGUGAAAUGCGUAGAUAUGCGGAGGAACACCGAUGGCGAAGGCAAUCCCCUGGGCCUGCACUGACGCUCAUGCACGAAAGCGUGGGGAGCAAACAGG
rnacentral:rRNA from 1 species